GCUUGAUGUGUUAGCAUGGAAUAAUGAAAUAUGACUUUAGUCCUAGUUUCGUUGGUUUAGGUACUUCAGUAAUGAUGAAUAGAAACGGUUAGGGGCAUUUGUAUUUGGUCGCUAGAGGUGAAAUUCUUGGAUUGA
rnacentral:rRNA from 1 species